rnacentral:rRNA from 1 species
UACGAAGGGGGCUAGCGUUGUUCGGAAUUACUGGGCGUAAAGCGCACGUAGGCGGAUAUUUAAGUCAGGGGUGAAAUCCCAGAGCUCAACUCUGGAACUGCCUUUGAUACUGGGUAUCUUGAGUAUGGAAGAGGUAAGUGGAAUUGCGAGUGUAGAGGUGAAAUUCGUAGAUAUUCGCAGGAAUCACCAGUGGCGAAGGCGGCUUACUGGUCCAUUACUGACGCUGAGGUGCGAAAGCG